AAUUUUUGAUUUUUGGACCACUGUAAAUAUUUAUGAAAAACCACCUAUAUUUUCUUCUCUAUGCAUGACUACUGGCUGCGUGUUUGUCUGUCUAUGUCUGUCUUAUUAAUCACUGAAUUGACAUGUACACUUGGAAAAAUGUUCUAAUUAUUGUAGAAAAUUAUGUUCUUAUUUCCUGAAAAUGUUUUGUCACAUCUUUGACCUUUGUCAAAGGAAGGAUAGAUUAGACCUUAGGUAAGGCAAGUAUACCAUGAUAUCUCAGGUAACACAGAUAAAAAGGGACAUGGAGAAGAACACAGGU
rnacentral:lncRNA from 1 species